rnacentral:rRNA from 1 species
UACGGAGGGUGCGAGCGUUAAUCGGAAUUACUGGGCGUAAAGCGUGCGCAGGCGGUUUGGUAAGACAGAUGUGAAAUUCCCGGGCAUAACCUGGGAACUGCAUUUGUGACUGGCAGGCUAGAGGGCGGCAGAGGGGAGUGGAAUUACCCGUGUAGCAGUGAAAUGCGUAGAUAUGCGGAGGAACACCGAUGGCGAAGGCAACUACCUGGGCGUGCACUGACGCUCAUGCACGAAAGCGUGGGGAGCAAACAGG